rnacentral:rRNA from 1 species
GUAGGUGGCAAGCGUUGUCCGGAAUUAUUGGGCGUAAAGCGCGCGCAGGCGGUUCUUUAAGUCUGAUGUGAAAGCCCACGGCUCAACCGUGGAGGGUCAUUGGAAACUGGAGAACUUGAGUACAGAAGAGGAAAGCGGAAUUCCACGUGUAGCGGUGAAAUGCGUAGAGAUGUGGAGGAACACCAGUGGCGAAGGCGGCUUUCUGGUCUGUAACUGACGCUGAGGCGCGAAAGCGUGGGGAGCAAACAGGGAUUAGGUACCCUGGUAGUCCACGCCGUAAACGAUGAGUGCUAAGUGUUAGGGGGUUUCCCGCCCCUUAGUGCUGCAGCUAACGCAUUAAGCACUCCGCCUGGGGAGUACGGCCGCAAGGCUG